rnacentral:misc_RNA from 1 species
AACCAUUCUCACCUGCGGCUAGACCUGCGGAGGGAUCAUUACCGAGUUUACAACUCCCAAACCCCUGUGAACAUACCUAUACGUUGCCUCGGCGGAUCAGCCCGCGCCCUGUAAAAAGGGACGGCCCGCCCGAGGACCCUAAACUCUGUUUUUAGUGGAACUUCUGAGUAAAACAAACAAAUAAAUCAAAACUUUUAGCAACGGAUCU